UACGUAGGGGGGCUAGCGUUGUCCGGAUUUAUUGGGCGUAAAGAGCGUGUAGGCGGCCAGGUAGGUCUGCUGUGAAAACUCGAGGCUCAACCUCGAGACGUCGGCGGAAACCAUUUGGCUAGAGUCCGGAAGAGGAGAGGUGGAAUUCCUGGUGUAGCGGUGAAAUGCGCAGAUAUCAGGAAGAACACCAGUGGCGAAGGCGGCUCACUGGCCCGAUACUGACGCUGAGGCACGAAAGCGUGGGGAGCAAACAGG
rnacentral:rRNA from 1 species